GAAAUAGAAAAUAGACAAAGGUCUUAGCUAGAUUACAGUGUGCCUUCCAGACUCAGUAGAUACCACACCCUGUGUUAGGAUCAGUUUCACGAGAGACCAUCUACCUGCACAGCAGCAUUUUGUACUGAUGUUCAACAUUUUACAACAGCUUUUACAGGUGACACUAUCUGCAAAUGAAUAAUAAAGGAGUUAAAAGAAAACUUAGAGAUGACAACGUCUCUACUUCCCAUUGGGCGUUGCAAAAGCAAAAAAGGCCAACAACAGCAGAGAUGAAGAUUAGACGAGCUAAAGACAUUAUGACAAAAGUUCAGUCUGAUCUCAGUCAAUAUGAACAUCGGUAUAAAGGCAGCUCCCGACCCAACAAGAAGCUCACUGAAUAUAUCAGGUAUGUUUACAUUAAUAAUAGCAACAUAAUAAUAGCAAACUAAUAGAACAAAUUGGAUAUAAUAUAGU
rnacentral:lncRNA from 1 species